rnacentral:lncRNA from 1 species
UCUGUGCUAUGACUUUGUAAUACCUAUGUCUUCUAUCUUCCCUUUUUUAACCCUGGGAUUUUGAUUAAUUAUUGAACUUCCUGGUUUAAUUUGGUAUAUUAUCUUCUAUAUUUCUAUCUCUGACCUUUUGUUAAACUCUCUGGGAAGUAUUUUCAACAUCUUUCAAACCUUUAAUUGACUUGUUAAUUUUAAUAUUUGAUUUUAUAAAAAGUAUUCUAGUUUUUAAAAGCAUGGAUCCUGUUUUCUGGCUGUGAUAUAAUGGUACAUGCCUUCUGAGGAAUCUAGUUGAAGAUAUUUAUAAUUUUUAAGAAUUUCUAUUUUUCAGGGGUCACUUUUGUUUAUAUUUGUCAUUUCCAAUGAAGUCUGUGAUCUUUGUUUCUUAAGACAGAGGUACAGAAGAGCUCAUUGGCAAUUCUGAGCAUAUGGUCAUGGAGGGCUUAAAGAAUCUAUUUAUUGUAUUUUAGGUUGAUUAGCCUAUCACUUUAGAAAAAUCUCAAAAUGCUUAAAGUAUUGGUAUUUUUUUUUCCUCCAAUAGCUUUCAAAUUCUCCAAAAAACCCUUCAGUGAACUUUCUAACUUGGAUUUAGAAACCUGGAUUCAUUGGCUACUUGUUGAUGUGGAAGUUUUGAUUAAAAAAAAAAAUCCACCUAUCAGAUUUUCAGUUUCAAAUUUUAUUCCCAUUCUCUGACAUUUUUAAGCAAAAUGCUCUUAGCACAACCUCUAUUUGCCUUCACUUUGACAGGAUACUCCUGUGCAAGUAUUUCUACCCAUCUUAAUUCUUCCUUACCACUCUUCCCUAGCUGUUCAUUAAAAUUUCUCCUCAGUUGAUGACCCUUUAUACUGUAUCUCAUCAAUGCUUUUAUUCUUUGCAAUUUAUUUCUUGGCGGGGUUGUAGGAAAAAGGGGUUGACAACCAUGUGAUCAUUCUUUGUUAUUAACUGGAAUUCAGCCCCUUCCUUGUGUGUUUUAGUGUUGAGAGGAGACAAAUUUGUUCCUAGUGCUUUGAAUACAUCAGAAGAAAAUAGUAGGUGUUGGUUCCAAAUGCUGAAGCCCAGAUCAUAAAAUCUUCUAACAUUGCUUUCCUAGAGUUGACUGGAACUUUGAGGGCUGGCUAUAUAUGGGUCUGCAGGAGCCAGAAAAUGUUAUCCAGGACCUAGAGAGUGUUGAUGUAAAGGAUCUCUCUAGAAGGUUCACUGAGGGCCAUACUGAUGGGCCAGCUUCCUCUCUGUUGUUCUCUGAGGUACAGCUGCCAACCAUGUCACGACAAACAGCAGUGUCAGUGCUAUUUUUUAGGAGGUCAGGUAUUGUUUAGUUUGAAAUCAUUGCCUAAUCGUAUUCAAAAUUACAACUUCAAGCUGAAAUUAAAAUUAAGCAGUCUCUACCCUGUGUAUAUACUUUGAAAAAAAUGGUCACUUCAGUACCCAACAAAUGACUUAAUAUUAUUUGUGGUGAAAAAUAAAAGUUAUUUGAGAAAACUAGGUUUUAUAUUGUUCUUUCUACCACCUGCUUAAGGAGAGCCACAGUUUUGAUUUCCAGUUGGGUUUGAGAUUCUCUAAUUUAAUAUUAAAUGAGCCUUUCUUUAUCUCUAAUAUAUGCUGAUGCUUUAACUCACAUAAAUGCAUGAUUUGUUUCUUAUCACAAGACUUUGUUAUUGUUUAUCAAGGGCAGGGUUAUUUUACCAAAAGUGUAGCAUACGGUGCAUACAUAGCACUCGUAUAUAAACAUAUCAUGCACAAGAGAUUAAUACAAUUUUACUUUUUCGAGUGAUUAAUAUUUACCCUGGCAGCUGUAGCGUUUUAGUCUUCCAUUAGCUGACAGAUGUGAAUAAGGGUUGCAUCUUGCCUCUAACAACCUCCUAUAUCUUAAUACGUGUUCAUAGCUUAGGGACUAUGAAAUAUGCUGCAAGAAUAUUUAGAACUCUCAGAGGAAUUUCCUGUGGCUUCAACUGAUUUUUUUUUCGCAAAUAUAUUAAAUUGAAUAUUUCUUCAGGGCAGAAAGUUGACUGGCUUGAAACUCACAGGUGCAGAACAAUAAACAAAAUUCCAACUUAAAUCUGAGCAUUUCAAUGUGAGUCAUUGGCUUGUUAUAACCAACCUAACAAGCCCAGAGCAUCACAAGAAAUUGUAAUGGAAAUACUGGUUUAUGGCUUUGAGUAUGGGGUAAAUAGCGAAAAGAAAAUGUGUUUAUAUUUGAAAGAUAAUUACGUAUACUGUCUUUGGUUAUACUUGGAGGAAUCAGAGAAGUCAUGAUUUUCACUGGCAUUUUCACUGUCGGUGGCUAAUAUCACAUACGCAAACCUGACUAAAGCAAUAGUUAUGACUUUGCUAUAUCAUUUUCUAUAUGUGGUAAGUUUACUUUUAUGUAAAUAAGAUGUUAAAAUAUGGCUUAUGAGAUUAUGAAAAAUGCCUAGAUUUUUAAUACAUUUAUUUGAAUGAAUAAUGUUAUAAUAUCCACAGUGGUAGAAAACAAAAGUAAAAAUUGGAAAAGAUAUGAUGUCUUAUGAGUCAGGUAUAUGUAGUCUCAAAGUUACAUGUGUAUAUUCACAAACAUGUGUAUAAUUAGUGCAUUUCAGUAUUAGUAUUGUUAUAUUUACUAAUACUUAGAAUAUGUAUCUAUUAAAACCUAUAUACAUAUAUGUAUUUCUAUAUACACAUUUGGACAUUUGCAUAGGAAUUUCAUAAUUUUAUAUAUUAACAAGCCUUUAUUAUAUUUUUCUAUGCAUUUAUUGAAUAAAUAUUUGCUCAGAACAUUAGAUGCUUACAACAUAGUGCUAUGUGUACUGUAAACAACCAAAUGAGGUAUAAUCCCUGCUAAUAACAUUCAAAAUCUGACUGCAAAAAAAAGUAUGUAAAUAGUUGAAUAAUAUGAAAGUAAAUAACAGUUUUAUACAUAAAAAUGCAUUAGUGUCAGUACAUAUCACCAACUAUUAACUUUCAAAAAAACUUUUUUUUUUUGAAAACUUUUAAGCAAAGGUGAGUCUGUUAAAUUUAAUACAGCAUAGGGGGAACAUCAUUUUGGCAGAAUCUUAGUCAUGUCUCAUAAAAGGAAUUCAAGGGAGGAUAUUAAUACAGUUUUAGGGCCUGAAUGGAAUGAUUUUAAGGCAGGAGGAAGGAUUGGACUGGGGAGAAUUUAAGGUAUAAUAGCUUUACAUUGGGGAGACACAGGAAGGCAAGAUUUUUUUGGGGGAGAGCAUUUUAGGGCUGCACCUGUGGUAAAUGGAAGUUCCCAGGCUAGGGGGCAAAUCAGAGCUGUAGCUUCCAGCCUACACCAAAGCCAUAGCAAUGCAGGAUCCGAGCUGAAUUCUGUGACUUACACCACAACUCAUGGAAAUGUCAGAUCCUAGCCCACUAAGUGAGGCCAGGGAUCGAACCCACAUCCUCAUGGAUACUAAUUGAGUUCUUAACCACCAUAGGAAAUCUCAAAGGCAAGAUUUUUGAUGAGCAAAUGUAGAAGACCAUAGUUAAUGUGGACAGAUGGGCUAUUUUGUUUGCAUUAAUAGGGCUAACUUUCCAGGAGGGAGUAUUUCUUUGAGUAAAUAUCCAAAUUAUUUCUACUCAUUCUCAAUACCACUUUACACAAGAGAUGAAAAUUUCAUUUAUUCUAGUAUUAUUUAAAAAAGGAUCAUGGAAAUUUUUGGCCUCCCCCCCCCCAAUUUUUACAUUCUUCAGCCUCAGCUGGAGGAUAGAAUAUUAUUUUAGGGGACGUGAUCAACAGACAGUCAUCACUGUCUGUGUCACGGUUGCAUCCAGAGUUUUUGAUUGUAGUUGUUCCAAUCUUUUUAAGGGUCAGAUUUUCUUUUUCUAUAAAUGGAACAUUAUUUGUCAGAUCGUUUGAUGGUACAGUGGCUGCUGGGCAGUAUUUAAGACUCCAGAGAUCAUAUGUUUCAGCCCUGUAACCUGAAUGCUAAGGGAAGGACUUGAUCAUUAUUUUCAGUCUACGGCGAUGUCAGUAGCCAAAAUUAAACCAAGUGAGCAGAAUCCCUUGUAACAGCCUCCAAACCUCUCAGAACUAGAACCAUAAACAAAGCAAAAUAUUAAGUCAGUUAUUUUAUAGUUCCAAGUGUCUAAGACAAUGCAGAGUAUUAGAGCAGCAAAGAUGAGUAUAUGUUAAUUGGGUAGUUAAGAAUGAGAACUUUAAGGUUAAAAUGUAACAACAGGCAGAGUUUCUGGUUUUCUGCAUUUUAUUCUAUGGAUCUUGGAAGAUACGUAAUUCAUAUACUUGUCCUGAUCAUAAGGUCUGGGCUUAGAAGCUUUCUCCUCCUCCAAGAUUGUCCGUUUCUGGAGCAUUAGUAAAAAUUCUCAGCUUCAGAUCCCCAAUCUGGACUUUUUCAGUAUUUCGAGAAUGGCUUAAAUCUUUUUAAUAGAUAAAUAUCUAAGGGUCAAAGAGAUUGUUGCACUACUGUUAAACUAGCUCCUGAUUCGUCUUUUUUAAAAUUUAUUCCCCCAAUCUAGGCUAAUGAUGAGUGUACAGAGUGAACCAGGGUUUUUAAUUUUUAUUUUUCAAUUGAAAUAUAUUGCAUAUGUAACAUUGUAUAAAGUAUACAUGCUGAUAUUUUACAUUUAUGUUUUAAGUAUGAUUACCAUUAUAAUAAUAGCACCUCUAUCAUAGCACAUAAUUAUUUUUCUGUGGUAUGAAUAAUUAACAUCUGGCCUCUUAGCAAGUUUUAUAUAUUGCUAUUUGUGUUCAUUAUACUGUGCAUGACAUCAGACUUACUAUCUACUAGUUAAAAUUUGCACCUUUAAACAACAUUUCUUCUGUUCGUCUGCCUAUCCCUCUGCCCCCUGCCCCAACCCCAGACCUUAUUAACCACUAUGUUACUCUGUUGUUAGGAGUUUGGGUUUGUUAAAUUCCACUAAUAAGUGAUGAUAGCACAGAGCUUUUGUCUUUUUGUGUGUGGCUUAUCUCAUGUAGUCAAAGUUUUAGAGAGCUAAUACUAGUAAAUAGUUGUUAAUUUUGGUGAGUUGCUAUUAUACUUAACUCACAUUGUUUUUUCUAGGAGCAAAUAUGUCCUAGAACAAAUAAACCAGCUACUUCUGCUUGUUCUGUUUUGUUUAUCAUAUGUAAAGAAAGGAUCCCUGCUCUAAAUCUUAGUUUAGUUCUCAAGAAGAAAUAGAAUUUGUAGUAAAAUACAUUUUUUAGUUUUUGAGAGGACGAGGAGUCUAAAACCAUCUUAUCUGAUUAUCUUAGUCAAUAUGACUUCACAUGAAUUGAAAUUGGGUAUUGGAGUUUGCAAAUCACUUUAUGUAGAAACAUGUUUAGUUUGUGCUAAUGAAUUCAGUCUACAGCUUUUGGGUAGACCACAUAUUGAUUGGUAUAUUCUCAUCCAUCCUUUUCAUGGAGCUUCAGGUUAGGCUUGAUGUAGAUCAGGGAUCCUAAAACUGAGUUACACUUGUCACCAAAUGUAUGUGACACAGUGACCUGGAAAUUGGUAGUUAAAGGAAUUUCAAGAGCCUGAAACUUUAUAAAUUCUCUAAUGUUUCUGAGCUGAGUCCUUUAGUCAAGUCAUCAUAUUGGUUUUGUUUUCCACUUCUCAUUUCGCAAUUGCUUUUUCC